rnacentral:rRNA from 1 species
AGAGUUUGAUCCUGGCUCAGAACGAACGCUGGCGGCAAGCUUAACACAUGCAAGUCGAACGAUGUAGCAAUACAUAGUGGCGGACGGGUGCAUAACACGUGGGAAUCUGCCUUUAGGUGCGGAAUAACUCAGGGAAACUUGAGCUAAUACCGCAUAAUAUCUCCGGAUCAAAGAUUUAUCGCCUAAAGAUGAGCCCGCGC